rnacentral:rRNA from 1 species
AAAUUGAAGAGUUUGAUCAUGGCUCAGAUUGAACGCUGGCGGCAGGCCUAACACAUGCAAGUCGAGCGGUAGCACAGAGAGCUUGCUCUCGGGUGACGAGCGGCGGACGGGUGAGUAAUGUCUGGGAAACUGCCUGAUGGAGGGGGGAUAACUACUGGAAACGGUAGCUAAUACCGCAUAAUGUCGCAAGACCAAAGUGGGGGACCUUCGGGCCUCAUGCCAUCAGAUGUGCCCAGAUGGGAUUAGCUAGUAGGUGGGGUAACGGCUCACCUAGGCGACGAUCCCUAGCUGGUCUGAGAGGAUGACCAGCCACACUGGAACUGAGACACGGUCCAGACUCCUACGGGAGGCAGCAGUGGGGAAUAUUGCACAAUGGGCGCAAGCCUGAUGCAGCCAUGCCGCGUGUGUGAAGAAGGCCUUCGGGUUGUAAAGCACUUUCAGCGGGGAGGAAGGCGUUAAGGUUAAUAACCUUGGCGAUUGACGUUACCCGCAGAAGAAGCACCGGCUAACUCCGUGCCAGCAGCCGCGGUAAUACGGAGGGUGCAAGCGUUAAUCGGAAUUACUGGGCGUAAAGCGCACGCAGGCGGUCUGUCAAGUCGGAUGUGAAAUCCCCGGGCUCAACCUGGGAACUGCAUUCGAAACUGGCAGGCUAGAGUCUUGUAGAGGGGGGUAGAAUUCCAGGUGUAGCGGUGAAAUGCGUAGAGAUCUGGAGGAAUACCGGUGGCGAAGGCGGCCCCCUGGACAAAGACUGACGCUCAGGUGCGAAAGCGUGGGGAGCAAACAGGAUUAGAUACCCUGGUAGUCCACGCCGUAAACGAUGUCGAUUUGGAGGUUGUGCCCUUGAGGCGUGGCUUCCGGAGCUAACGCGUUAAAUCGACCGCCUGGGGAGUACGGCCGCAAGGUUAAAACUCAAAUGAAUUGACGGGGGCCCGCACAAGCGGUGGAGCAUGUGGUUUAAUUCGAUGCAACGCGAAGAACCUUACCUGGUCUUGACAUCCACAGAACUUUCCAGAGAUGGAUUGGUGCCUUCGGGAACUGUGAGACAGGUGCUGCAUGGCUGUCGUCAGCUCGUGUUGUGAAAUGUUGGGUUAAGUCCCGCAACGAGCGCAACCCUUAUCCUUUGUUGCCAGCGGUCCGGCCGGGAACUCAAAGGAGACUGCCAGUGAUAAACUGGAGGAAGGUGGGGAUGACGUCAAGUCAUCAUGGCCCUUACGACCAGGGCUACACACGUGCUACAAUGGCAUAUACAAAGAGAAGCGACCUCGCGAGAGCAAGCGGACCUCAUAAAGUAUGUCGUAGUCCGGAUUGAGUCUGCAACUCGACUCCAUGAAGUCGGAAUCGCUAGUAAUCGUAGAUCAGAAUGCUACGGUGAAUACGUUCCCGGGCCUUGUACACACCGCCCGUCACACCAUGGGAGUGGGUUGCAAAAGAAGUAGGUAGCUUAACCUUCGGGAGGGCGCUUACCACUUUGUGAUUCAUGACUGGGGUGAAGUCGUAACAAGGUAACCGUAGGGGAACCUGCGGUUGGAUCACCUCCUUACCUUAAAGAA